rnacentral:lncRNA from 1 species
UGGUACACUGCCAAAGGUAUUUGUAUAGAGUCAUAUCAUCCUAUCUGUCCUUCAUGUUGAGUUGUAAGUAAAUAAAAGUGUGAUGAUCAUCAUUAUUUAGGGCAUUGUCUCAAUGAGGAAAGGAUGAUGGAGUCAAUGAUCCCCCCACAAGUUGGGAAGAGACUCCGGACGAAAAAUAAAAUAAAAAAGAGAAAACAAAAAAAGGAAAGAAAGGAAAAAAGAGAAAGAAA